rnacentral:rRNA from 1 species
UACGUAGGGUGCGAGCGUUGUCCGGAAUUAUUGGGCGUAAAGAGCUCGUAGGCGGUCUGUCGCGUCGAUCGUGAAAACUUGGGGCUUAACCCUGAGCUUGCGGUCGAUACGGGCAUGACUGGAGUUCGGUAGGGGAGACUGGAAUUCCUGGUGUAGCGGUGAAAUGCGCAGAUAUCAGGAGGAACACCGGUGGCGAAGGCGGUUCUCUGGGCAUGUCCUGACGCUGAGGAGCGAAAGUGUGGGGAGCGAACAGG